rnacentral:lncRNA from 1 species
UUUUUUUUAUUUUCCCACUGUACAGCAAGGGGGUCAGGUUAUCCUUACAUGUAUACAUUACAAUUACAUUUUUUCCCCCACCCUUUGUUCUGUUGCAACAUGAGUAUCUAGACAUAGUUCUCAAUGCUAUUCAGCAGGAUCUCCUUGUAAAUCUAUUCUAAGUUGUGUCUGAUAAGCCCAAGCUCCCGAUCCCUCCCACUCCCUCCCCCUCCCAUCAGGCAGCCACAAGUCUCUUCUCCAAGUCCAUGAUUUUCUUUUCUGAGGAGAUGUUCAUUUGUGCUGGAUAUUAGAUUCCAGUUAUAAGUGAUAUCAUAUGGUAUUUGUCUUUGUCUUUCUGGCUCAUUUCACUCAGGAUGAGAGUCUCUAGUUCCAUCCAUGUUGCUGCAAAUGGCAUUAUGUCCUUCUUUUUUAUGGCUGAGUAGUAUUCCAUUGUGUAUAUAUACCACCUCUUCCGAAUCCAAUCGUCUUUUGAUGGACAUUUGGGUCGUUUCCAUGUCCUGGCUAUUGUGAAUAGUGCUGCAAUGAACAUGCGGGUGCCUGUGUCUCUUUUAAGGAGUUUUGUCCAGAUAGAUGCCCAAGAGUGGGAUUGUGGGGUCAUAUGGAAGUUCUAUGUAUAGAUUUCUAAGGUAUCUCCAAACUGUUCUCCAUAGUGGCUGUACCAGUUGACAUUCCCACCAACAGUGCAGGAGGGUUGCCUUUUCUCCACAGCCCCUCCAGCACUUGUUAUUUGUCGAUUUAUUAAUGAUGGCCAUUCUGACUGGUGUGAGGUGAUAUCUCAUGGUAGUUUUGAUUUGCAUUUCUCUUAUAACCAGCGAUGUUGAGCAUUUUUUCAUGUGUUUGUUGGCCAUCUGUAUAUCUUCUUUGGAGAAAGGUCUAUUCAGGUCUUUUGCCCAUUUUUCCAUUGAUUGAUUGGUUUUUUUGCUGUUGAGUUGUAUAAGUUGCUUAUAUAUUCUAGAGAUUAAGCCCUUGUCAGUUGCAUCAUUUGAAACUAUUUUCUCCCAUUCUGUAAGUUGUCUUUUUGUUUUCUUUUGGGUUUCCUUUGCUGUGCAAAAGCUUUUCAGUUUGAUGAGGUCCCAUGGGUUUAUUUUUGCUCUAAUUUCUAUUGCUUUGGGAGACUGACCUGAGAAAAUAUUCAUGAUGUUGAUGUCAGAGAGUGUUUUGCCUAUGUUUUCUUCUAGGAGUUUGAUGGUGUCCUGUCGUAUAUUUAAGUCUUUCAGCCAUUUUGAGUUUAUUUUUGUGCAUGGUGUGAGGGUGUGUUCUAGUUUCAUUGCUUUGCAUGCAGCUGUCCAGGUUUCCCAGCAAUGCUUGCUGAAUAGACUUUCUUUUUCCCAUUUGAUGUUCUUGCCUCCCUUGUCAAAGAUUAAUUGACCAUAGGUGUCAGGGUUUAUUUCCGGAUUCUCUCUUCUGUUCCAUUGGUCUGUCUGUCUGUUUUGGUACCAAUUGGUUUAUUUUUGCUUUUAUUUCUGUUGCUUUGGGAGACUGACCUGAGAAAACAUUUGUAAGGUUGAUGUCAGAGAAUGUUUUGCCUAUGUUCUCUUCCAGGAGUUUGAUUGUGUCUUGUCUUAUAUGUAAGUCUUUCAACCAUUUUGAGUUCCUUCAUCUGUUGAUAGAUGCUUAGGUUGUUUCUAUAUCUUGGCUAUCGUGACUAUUGCUAAAAUGAACAUGGGUGCAUGGAUCUUUUUGAAUUAUAGUUUUGUCUGGAUAUAUGCCCAGGAGUGGGACUGCUGGAUCAUCUGACAGUUCUAUAUUUAGUUUUCUUAGGAUCCUCCAUACUUUUGGUACCAAUUUACAUUCUCACAAAGAGUAGUGAAGAGUUGCCUUUUUCCACACCUUUCCGGCAUUUAUUAUUUGUAGACUUAUUAAUUAUGGCUAUUCUGGAUGCUAUGAGGUGGAAUGUCAUUGUAGUUUUCAUUUUCAUUUCUCUAAUAAUCAGUGAUGUUGAGCAUUUUUUCAUAUGCCUACUUACCAUCCAUAUGUCUUUGGAGAAAUGUCUAUUUGGUCUUCUACCUAUUUUUAUAUUGGGUUGUUUGGUUUCUUUUGUUAAAUUGUAUGAGUUGUUUGUAUAUUUGGAGAUUGAGCCCUUGACAUAUGCAUCUUUCGCAAUUAUUUCUCCCAUUCCAUAGACUGUCUUUUUGUAUUUUUCAUUGUUUCCUUUGCUGUACAAAAGCUUGUAAGUUUACUUAGGUCCCAUUUGUUUAUUUUUAUUUUUAUUCCUAUUUUGGGAAAACAUUUCUACACAUUUUUCCUGUAUGAACAUAUACACCUAACAAAUACUGUAUUAAAACAAUAAAUAAGUAAUAAAUAAUAAGGAAUACUAGAGUGAGAGAAUCCUUUGCAGACGUAUUUUCUGAACCUGAAAGUAGCUUCCCUCCAUUUUCCACAAAUAUUUAUGGACUUACCUGUUUAAAUUACCUUGAGUUUUCCACCAGCAACAUAAUAGAUAUAAUAUAAUGGUAGUAUGUAGUAUGACAUCACUGCUAUUUGUGAUGACAGUUUGAUGUCAUCUGGUCAGAAGGUACUGAGACUAAAAAGAUGAGACUCUAUCUAACAGGUGUUAAAUAACCAACAAUUCCUGGCAUUAUAGAUCAUAUAGAAAAGGGAAUUAUCAUGAUUAAAUUUAAAGCAUUUGCUUAAAUAUUACAUAUGAUAGUAAAAACUAGUCGGGCCAAUUAUGAGUUAUAUAAAACAUUAAAUAAGGCAGAAUUAUCUCAACAGUUUGAAAAAAAAAAGUUUUGCCUUAAUAUGUUAUGAUUUCCAAGGCACAUUGAUUUCAUUUCAAAAAUGGAGUAUUAAUAAUUGAAGGCAAGAGAGAUGAAGUUUUUGAAAUUUUAUAGUUUCCCAGAAAACUGCGGGCCUGAGUAAAAAUCAUGAUUAAUUUAAAACUUACUAUAAUUCACCGAACCUAUUCUAAUAAAUUGAAUAUCAUUUAGGCUGUGGUUCUAGUUCAAUAAAUAACAUUUUAUUGGACCAUAUUAUAUUAAAAAUGCAGCUUUUCUAUCCACAAAUAAAUAUGUAUUUAAUUGCUUUACUUUUCAAAAUUAUAAAUGAGGUUCAAUUUUGUACUAAUCAUAAUUGUCACAGGAAGGGUAAAAGAGGAACUCGACAUGCAAAAAUUUACAAAGAUGAUGUUUAUUGCUACAUAAUUUAUAAUAAAGGAAACCUGAAGGGGAAGAAAAGCUAAUGCAAAAAAGUGUGAUGAGAUGCAUAUACAAAAGCGGAUAAGUGUGUGUGUGCCUGUGUAUUUCAUGGUAGGAUUAUUGUCUUUGAGUUCCCUGAGCACUCUCAUCUCUGUGCUAUAGGUUGGAGGACUUUCUAGGGAAGAAGAAUCAAAGGAAGAGUUGAAUGGGUGGGUCUGUUUUUAGGGCCAAGGGAGAAGUGUAUUACAAGAUAGGCACCGUGGCUUCAGCAAACCCUAUGUGGAGCUAAAAUGAUGCAUCAGAAAUGUCCUGCAUUGGGCCCAAAGGACCCAGCUCCUGACUCAAGCACUUAUUAGUUGUGGCCUGCUCUGUUAUUGGGUAUGAACUAGACCAAGCCAGCUCUCUGCAGCUGAGGCAGUUCCAGCAGUGCCUGCCAACACUCAACUACUGGGACAACAAAUCUUUCUAUGACAGAGCAUUAGGAUAUAACAUCUCCUUCUCUUCUACACUCUCUAAUUUGAAUUUAGAUAUGUGUAUAGUUAUUACACAUUAUUAUUCCAUUAUUACACUAAUUGUACCAAAUGAAUAAAAUUAAAACCACACUACUACAUCCAAAAAUAUUCAUAAAUGAAUAAAAUUAAAACCACACUAUUACAUCCAAAAAUAUUCAUAAAUGUGUUACUUUAAGAAACUUUCUGCCAUAGCAGGUAUGUUCCACCACUCAUUGAGAGAAAAUAUUUUACAACUGCAAGAUAUGUAAAGCUAUCUGUUACAGGUUGAAUAUGCUACCAGGAAGAUAUUUCCCCAAAGCAAAAAACAAACAAACAACUCUUCCACUACAGCCUUAUUUGCUACUUGAACAAACAUGCUUAUCUACAAAACAGAUAGUCUUAAAUUUGUAUAAGCAGAGGAUUAAAACAGUUUUUUAAUCUAACAUUGCCACUAUGUAUACAAUGCUUGCUAAUUGUAUUUUAAAAAUUAAGACAGUGAUAUUUAUCAUAUACCAAAUUAUUGAUCCGUGGGUCACUCAAACAUUGGUUUGAUUAUCUAGAUCAUCAGUAAGUAAAGACUGAGAAACUGUCUAGGCCUAUUGUGCAUUUUAUCAAGGUGUUUCAGUUUGAAAAAAGAGUAAUGUGUUUUUAUCACUAAAUAACUAUUUUCCACAUGGAAUACACACACAGACACACACAAAGUAUAAUACUGAUGGGCUACAUAAAGGUAUACAAGUAGAACAAUUCUGGAGAUUUACUCACUUGGCAAAAGAUUAGGAAACCUGGUAGUUCCUGCUAUAGCACAGUGGGUUAGGACUCCAACUGCAAUGGCUCAGGUUGCUGCAGAGGCAUGGGUUCAAUACCUGGCUGGGUUCAGAGGAUUAAAGGAUCCAGCAUGGUCACAAUGCAGCAUAGGUUGCAGCUGUGGCUAGGAUUCAAUCCCUGGCCGAUGAACUUCCAUAUUCCAUGGAUGCAGCUACAAAAAUUUAGGAAAUUUAUAAUGUGGAAUAUAUAUUUAAAAGCUAUAAAUGCUUAGUAUAACAACAGAUUUAACAUAACAAAAUGAAAAGGUUUGAUAUCUUAGUCUCAGGGCUAGUGUUACACCAUAAAAGGAAGUCACAACUUAAAAAAUACUGGCAAUAUAAGAAAAAUAAUAUAGCUGUUUUAUUCAUAUGUUUUUUUAAUCACACUAAUUUAUUGUUAGUUUAAGUGUAGAAUACAAACAUUGAAGUACAAAUAUUGGGAAUUCAUCAGCAUUCUUUCAAGGCAUCUUUCCUCUCAAUAAAGUAAGUUUGGUGUAUGAAUUUCUUAUAAUGUGAGUAAACAACUUCCUAAAAUGAGUGGGCAAAUAAUAGAAUAUUCAAUUUUAUGUAUUAAUUAAAUUAGCAGAGAUUGUUAUAUAUUCACAUGUGUGGUCACUGUAUAGCCUUGAAGAGAGAAACAUUUUUCAUCAGGUAAGUCACUCAAGGUAGCAAUCUUUCUUAAAUUUCAAUCUAAAAGAAGCAAUAUUUUAAAAUAUAAGACAAUGAAAACUGUAUUACAAAAUGGAAAGAUUUAUUGGAGAAAGUGCUGAGGAGAUUCAGAGUAAAUCUGUCCCUUUAAUAAAAUUCUCCAGCCAUCAUCCAAAAUACACAUGCUGGUACAUUUUACUUUCUUACAUGGUGGUAUAUUUCUUGGGUUAUGUUGUAACUUAGCAAUAAAAUCAGGGUCAAUGAGGUGCCCACUUUUUAGCUGAGUGAUGUUGAGCAAGGAAUUUGGGUUCUCCCAACCCUGAUUUCUUCAUCAAACAGAAAUAAUAAAAAUAUAAUAAUAAUCCAUAUAGGGUCAUUGCCUGUAAUGCAUGUACCAUCAUAAAUGGUCCUUUUUACUUACUAUUAUUUUUGUUUGUUUGAUUUGGCUCCAUCUGUGGCAUAUGGAAGUUCUGGGGCCAGAGAGCCAACCCAUGCCAUGGCAGUGAUAAUGCUGGAUCCUAAAUACCAUGAGCCACCAGGGAACUAUGCGGCUAUUAUUUUUAUUUGCAUUUUUUCACAUAGAAAAUACUGGUCAUUUUUGAGGAAAUAUGUUGUAAAUGUAAAAAAAAAAAAAAAGAUAUCUGUUAAGAGUCACCCACCUUGUUAUAUCAUUUCCCUUACUCAUAGGGAUACUGUAUUCUCUGUCACAUC